rnacentral:rRNA from 1 species
AUUGAACGCUGGCGGCAGGCCUAACACAUGCAAGUCGAACGAGUGGCGGACGGGUGAGUAAUGUCUGGGAAUCUGCCUGAUGGAGGGGGAUAACUACCGGACACGGUAGCUAAUACCGUAUACCAUCAGCUGUGCCCAGAUGGGAUUUGCUAGUUGGUGGGGUAACGGCGUACCAAGGCGACGAUCCCUAGUUGGUCUGAGAGGAGGACCAGCCACACUGGAACUGAGACACGGUCCAGACUCCUACGGGAGGCAGCAGUGGGGAAUAUUGCACAAUGGGCGAAAGCCUGAUGCAGCCAUGCCGCGUGUAUGAAGAAGGCCUUCGGAUUGUAAAGUACUUUCAGCGGGGAGGCGUUACCCACAGAAGAAGCACCGGCUAACUCCGUGCCAGCAGCCGCGGUAAUUC